AUUGAACGCUGGCGGCAUGCCUUACACAUGCAAGUCGAACGGUAACAGGUCUUCGGAUGCUGACGAGUGGCGAACGGGUGAGUAAUACAUCGGAACGUGCCCGAGAGUGGGGGAUAACGAAGCGAAAGCUUUGCUAAUACCGCAUACGAUCUCAGGAUGAAAGCAGGGGACCGCAAGGCCUUGCGCUCACGGAGCGGCCGAUGGCAGAUUAGGUAGUUGGUGGGAUAAAAGCUUACCAAGCCGACGAUCUGUAGCUGGUCUGAGAGGACGACCAGCCACACUGGGACUGAGACACGGCCCAGACUCCUACGGGAGGCAGCAGUGGGGAAUUUGGACAAUGGGCGCAAGCCUGAUCCAGCCAUGCCGCGUGCAGGAUGAAGGCC
rnacentral:rRNA from 1 species